AACUGGUUAACCUAGAAAAUGUCCAUAAGUUAGAACUUGGAAAAAAAAAGAAGUUGGAUUCAAGCUGUUGCUAAAAAACCAAAACAGAAUUAGCCUGUGCUGUUGAAGCGGUGGCAGAUCGGGGAGAUCAAAGAUCGCCUUCUCUGACUUCUUUGAUCCUCAGACUCUUGCUACACUGUGCCUUCCACAGUCCUCCUAGAGGGAGAACAGCAAGCCCAUGAGGAUCGAACCCAAUCCUGAAGCGGAGAGAGCAGGUCCAGCACUAGCAGGCCGAUCCAGGACUUUUCCAGGAUUCCAGUGAACAAAUGUGUCCUGAGACUACUGGAUGGAAGCUCGGGCCACAGAGUCUUUCAUUCUUAAAGCUCCCCAGAUAAGCAGGGUUCUGAGAAACUGCCUUGGAGAUGGAGGUGGGGGAUGGAGCAGAGAGGCUGUCAAGUUUCUGAUGGCAGGAAUGGGGUCUUGUUCACCAGGACCUAGCAUAUGGAACACAUGUGCGCAUGCACACGCACACACACACACACACACACACACACACACACACACACACACAUGGGCACCUACACAUGUGCAACUCUUCACUGUCUAGGGUCCAGGCAAGAACAGGUAGGAGUCCAGAUUACCUUCUAAAGAUCCAAACACUACAGGUUCAUAACGCACCCUAGAAGCCAACACUACAGAUCCAUAAUGCAUUCUAGAACUUCAUAACACACCCUAGAAGACUUUCUCCCCCACAUAUCCCCUAAAAGGAAAAUAAAAUAACAAUUUCAU